GUACAACCUAUUCUUGUUUUUGACUCUUUUUAGAAGACCACUUCAAAUACUUCUCAUUCAUAAAAGCGCUGCGAUGACAUCGUCACAUGACCUCCAAGAACGAGACUGGAAGAGGAAGAGGACAAUGACAAAGAGCGAUAUGGAACAUCCCUCCUUUCAUUUCCGGCUACGAUUGCUCUCGUUUGGGUCAGCUGACAUUUGGAAAAACACCCAAAAACUGGUCACAAAUUACAGACCGGUCGCAGUCCCCACUGGAAGUCAACGUCAUGGAAAUAAUUUGACGGCUUACACUAAACUAGUUUGUAUGUAUUUUGGGAUAUUCAGAUCUUUAGCAUCUUUAUUGUGAGGCAUCUUUACGUUUCAAGCUAUCGGUUAAAUGGAAGUUUGACGCAACUCCUGCAGUGAAGUGGCUCAUUUACAUAUGCCCGCACACUGUCCCUCAACUGAAAUGGAUCACGUCACAGUCCAAACAUGAACGGAGUCCGAGUGGCCUUUCUGGCCAGCGUCCGCUCAGUGGUCGCCGAUGGCGUCGAUGCGUUUGGCGGGGUUCUGCUGCGUGGCAGCUCGCCAUCUGUUAACGUGUUGGCUGGCUUUGGAGCGCUUGUUUUCCGCCUCAGGGGAUUCUUCCUCCAACUUCUGACGCUUGUGUUUGGUUCUGCGAUUCUGGAACCACACCUUUACCUACAUACGCACAAGCACACAGGUGUCAGGACAAGCUAACAUGGCUACAUGCUAACAUACUAGGGUAACUUGGGUGUCCACUUUUUACAAAGAUUUCCUCCAUUGGAUGCUGUCAUGGAUCAAUCAUGACAUGCUGACACCACUUGAAUGAUGCAACAGGAAGGAACCUUAACAUCUUAGAACCAGGAUUCGUUUGGGUGUAUUCACACCUGCACAAAGGGUCCGGACCAGCGUUCCAAUCGAACCCUGGUCCGUUUAAAGCGGACCAAACUGAAUAAACCCUAAAUCUCGUGUGUUGGACUAGGGCUCUGACCCAGAUCCAUGUAUCAAAUGCUAUCUUGCUUACCUGUGUCUCAGUGAGGCAGAGAGCUGAAGCUAGCUGUUUUCUCUCCGCGCCGACGACGUAGUGGUUUUUGUCAAACGCUCGCUCUAAACGCAGGAGCUGUGAGGGAGAAAACGCCGUGCGGAUCCGUUUGGGUUUCCGGGAGAAAGCGCCGUGCAGCAGAAGGUUCUCUGCACCGCCGUCAUCACCUUAAUGUAAGACA